UGCCAUUGUAAAUGGAAAUCGAGUGAUAUAGGAAUAACAGAUAUUCUGGUUUUAUUAUAUUUUAGAUGACUAUAUUUCAUGGACAAGAACACUGAGAUGAAUAACUGAUGAUGCUGAGAAACAUCUGAAAUUCCAUGUAUGAUUCACAGUCUAGAAUUGAACCUCUGCAAAGUUAUAUUUUAAAGUCUUACUGUUCACAGAAAUAGUGUUUCAAGGGUCCUGCCCCACCAAGGAAUACUGCAUUGUUCACUACUGCCUAUUCAAAUUUACAGAACAUGAAGAAUGUACAUGAAAAACAGUUAGACCUGCAGAGGAAUUUACAGAUGUUUAUUUUGUUGAUUCUGCAGAGAGAAAUCCUUCCUUCCCUCAAGAUUCCUAAAAACAAGCGAAGCAAGACUGAGAUGAUUUUCACUUCAAUUAGGGAACUCACUGACUCUUUCACCUUCUUUGGUGUAAGGAAAAAUGACUUAAUUCUUGUAGAAGGAGGGAAAAAUCUUUGAGACUUCUCUGGUUCCUUUUCUGUAUAGCAUUUCUUGCAGGUCUGAACACUGGCAGUUGGAAGAAGGCAAAGACAAUCAGUCCUUUCAUAUAACAGUAGCCUAGUGUGGGUAA